AUUGAACGCUAGCGGGAUGCCUAACACAUGCAAGUCGAACGGAGUGGCGGACGGGUGAGUAAUAUAUCGGAACGUGCCUAGUAGCGGGGGAUAACUACUCGAAAGAGUGGCUAAUACCGCAUACUAUUGGAUCGGCCGAGAUGGGAUUAGAUAGGUGGUGGGGUAAAGGCUCACCAAGGCAACGAUCCAUAGCUGGUCUGAGAGGAUGACCAGCCACACUGGGACUGAGACACGGCCCAGACUCCUACGGGAGGCAGCAGUGGGGAAUAUUGGACAAUGGGGGAAACCCUGAUGCAGCCAUGCCGCGUGUAUGAAGAAGGCCUUCGGGUUGUAAAGUACUUUCUGCAGGGAGGCGGUACCUGCAGAAGAAGCACCGGCUAACUCCGUGCCAGCCGCCGCGGUAAUUC
rnacentral:rRNA from 1 species